rnacentral:rRNA from 1 species
CCUACGGGAGGCUGCAGUGGGGAAUAUUGGACAAUGGGCGAAAGCCUGAUCCAGCCAUGCCGCGUGUGUGAAGAAGGCCUUCGGGUUGUAAAGCACUUUCAUUGGGGAAGAAAGCCUUGGGGCUAAUACCCGCGAGGAAGGACAUCACCCACAGAAGAAGCACCGGCUAACUCCGUGCCAGCAGCCGCGGUAAUACGGAGGGUGCGAGCGUUAAUCGGAAUUACUGGGCGUAAAGCGCGCGUAGGCGGUCUGAUAAGCCGGUUGUGAAAGCCCCGGGCUCAACCUGGGAACGGCAUCGGAACUGUAAGGCUAGAGUGCAGGAGAGGAAGGUAGAAUUCCCGGUGUAGCGGUGAAAUGCGUAGAGAUCGGGAGGAAUACCAGUGGCGAAGGCGGCCUUCUGGACUGGCACUGACGCUGAGGUGCGAAAGCGUGGGUAGCAAACAGGAUUAGAUACCCCAGUAGUC